rnacentral:lncRNA from 1 species
UCUCCUGUUUAUUGCAGCUAAUGAGAUCUAACAGGUAUUUUCACUGUCCCUGCAUGUUGACAUCCUGCUUGAGGUCAAGAGUAAACUCCCUGGAAAUACAGUGCAGUCAGAGGAUUGUACAGGGCCAAACUAUUCUACCCCAGCUGUUUACCUCGGGUUUUAAACCAGAACACAAAGUGGAAAAAAUGCCUAGGAACAAAGCCAGUUAGCAGCUAUAGGUACUGCUGGGUAAAAAUGUUGGAAAACUAAUUGAGAAAUGACCAGCAACAUUUAGAACUCUGAGAAACUUCUAUGUCAGAAAAGAAAGGGAGAACAUUGAUCAGUUCAUCUCAAUUUUCUUUUAUUUCUGUAAAUGCACUGAUUUUGAUGAGAAGUUCCCAUUAUGUCAGGUAAUGCUGAGCUGCUGAAACAGGCUGGUUUGGUAUUAUCUCAGUACAUGCCUUGGAUUUGAUGCUGAGUGUGAAUAUUGACUUUACUGUAUUUAAAGGCAUUUUGAUUUCUGCAUUUUUAAUCUGUUUUAAUUUCCUGUAAUAUUUCAUUGCAGGUUCUAACAAAUUAGGAUAUCUAGUAACAAUGGCUAAAAAAGGGAAUAAGCCACUGCCACGAGGAAUGACUGCCUUCUGUGCUGAUGACAGAUCUGCCCCUCUGUUAUCAGACACUGCAGUUUUGCCAUCUCAGUUUCAUAAGAGUUGCUCCUGCCUGGGAGCCAGUGGAGCAGCCAUGCUGGGCAAAGCAGCUCUCUGAGGAGGUGGAUGAUGGAUGACAGUGAUUCCCUUUGGCAUGGAUGGGGCACUGAGCUCCUCCUGUGCUCAGGGAAGAAGCAGAUCUGGCACUUCUACUACCCUGAGGUUCUGUGGGGCUCCAUGAAUGGGUUUGCAGUGAUGCAGCUCCACUGGCACAAAACUGGCGAUGUUCCAGCACAAAGCAAAGUCUGUCUGGAAGCAACUUGCUCUGAAAGGUGUCUGCAAGCAGAAGAGAUGCCCUUGUGGAGGCUCCUGCUGAGCUCUGAGCUGGAUGACCUCAGGUGCUCCUUUCCAGUGCACCUUCAGCUGCUCAAGUGCAGGUGAUGAAACCAUGCAGAGAAGAGAGUUCCAAGGAACCAUCUGAGGAGAUUCUUCAAGAGUGCUGACAGACAUUCUACUCAGUGCAGAAGAUCUCGUCCUGGCAACUGAUGGCUCUUAAUCCAAGGUGAGAUUGCCUUGAUUCAGCUCCAUUUAAACACAGCUGUACCAGGAAAAUUCUAUGCUUUGUCAGCAGUAGGGCAUCUAGUUUAUUUUGCCUGUACUGUGACACUUAGUAUGGGACACCUGCACAAAGCCUGGCAAAUCUUUGAAGUGAGACUUCUUGUCCCAAGGCCUUGUCCAUGUCUGUGCUGGGCAGGGUCUCCAGGGGCUCAGGGAGGCCCACCCUGCUUUCAGGCCUCACCUUGGGGAUGGAGGUGGAACUGUGCUGCACUCCCCUAGACCUUCUAAUAGACAACAGAGGGAAAUAAGCAC